UACGGAGGGGGCUAGCGUUGUUCGGAAUUACUGGGCGUAAAGCGCACGUAGGCGGCUUUGUAAGUUAGAGGUGAAAGCCCAGGGCUUAACCCUGGAAUUGCCUUUAAGACUGCAUCGCUAGAAUCGUGGAGAGGUGAGUGGAAUUCCGAGUGUAGAGGUGAAAUUCGUAGAUAUUCGCAAGAACACCAGUGGCGAAGGCGGCUCACUGGCCCGAUACUGACGCUGAGGCACGAAAGCGUGGGUAGCAAACAGGG
rnacentral:rRNA from 1 species